rfam:TPA: Bos taurus chromosome X, whole genome shotgun sequence.
CCUGGUGGCUCAGACAGUAAAGCAUCUGCCUACAAUGCAGGAGACCCGGGUUCAAUCCCUGGGUCAGGA